CCUACGGGUGGCAGCAGUGGGGAAUAUUGCACAAUGGGGGGAACCCUGAUGCAGCAACGCCGCGUGAAGGAAGACGGUUUUCGGAUUGUAAACUUCUAUCAAUAGGGAAGAAAGAAAUGACGGUACCUAAAUAAGAAGCCCCGGCUAACUACGUGCCAGCAGCCGCGGUAAUACGUAGGGGGCAAGCGUUAUCCGGAUUUACUGGGUGUAAAGGGAGCGUAGACGGCUGUGCAAGUCUGAAGUGAAAGCCCGUGGCUCAACCGCGGAACUGCUUUGGAAACUGUAUAGCUUGAGUACUGGAGAGGCAGGCGGAAUUCCUAGUGUAGCGGUGAAAUGCGUAGAUAUUAGGAGGAACACCAGUGGCGAAGGCGGCCUGCUGGACAGAAACUGACGUUGAGGCUCGAAAGCGUGGGGAGCAAACAGGAUUAGAUACCCCAGUAGUC
rnacentral:rRNA from 1 species